AAAGAACACAGUAAAGCAGAAAACGCAAAUGGCAAAGAAUAAAGAGGCAGAAUGCAACUAGAAAAUUGAGUAUCUUCUAAAAAUGUGAAGAUUGCUGAGAAUUCUACAUUACUAAUUAAACAUCAUAGUAACACACAUCAAAUAAAUUUUAUCCUCAUGUUUUGGAUUAUGAUUUUUGGACGCCAUUUCCAAUUCUUAAUUCAUAAUUCAGUUCAUUAUUUGAGUGAUAUAAAAAACCUGCACCAGUUCAUCCCGUUUCGACAAACACCUGAGCUGCAUAAAAAAAAUUAGAUAAACAAAAGCUCAUAAAUUCCUCAUUACAAAUAAAAUUGAAAUCCAGACAAAAUGAAAUGAAAUUACAGUGUACUCAACUACAACAAAGCAAAAACAGCAAGUCCUAAACAAUGGCAAUCUUGGCACCAGCUUCUUCGAGUUGCUUCUUCGCAUCUUCCGCUUCUUCCUUUGAAAUCCCUUCCUUGAACUUCUUCGGCAAUCCUUCGAUCAACUCUUUCGCCUCCUUC
rnacentral:lncRNA from 1 species